UUUGAUCAUGGCUCAGGAUGAACGCUAGCGGCAGGCUUCAUACAUGCAAGUCGAGGGGCAGCAUAGAUUACUUGUAAUUUGAUGGCGACCGGCGAACGGGUGCGUAACGCGUAUGCAACUUACCUUUUACUAGAGAAUAGCCAAGAGAAAUUUUGAUUAAUGCUCUAUAUUCUUAUUUACUCGCAUGAGUAAAUAAGCAAAGCUCCGGCGGUAAAAGAUGGGCAUGCGUCCUAUUAGCUUGUAGGUGAGGUAAUGGCUCACCUAAGCUCCGAUAGGUAGGGGUCCUGAGAGGGAGAUCCCCCACACUGGUACUGAGACACGGACCAAACUUCUACGGAAGGCAGCAGUAAGGAAUAUUGGACAAUGGAGGCAACUCUGAUCCAGCCAUGCCGCGUGAAGGAAGACGGCCUUAUGGGUUGUAAACUUCUUUUAUACAUGAAGAAACCUUUCCACGUGUGGAAAGCUGACGGUACUGUAAGAAUAAGGAUCGGCUAACUCCGUGCCAGCAGCCGCGGUAAUAC
rnacentral:rRNA from 1 species